AUUGAACGCUGGCGGCAUGCUUUACACAUGCAAGUCGAACGGUAACAGGCCGCAAGGUGCUGACGAGUGGCGAACGGGUGAGUAAUGCAUCGGAACGUGCCCAGUCGUGGGGGAUAACUACUCGAAAGAGUAGCUAAUACCGCAUACGAUCUAUGGAUGAAAGCGGGGGACCGUAAGGCCUCGCGCGAUUGGAGCGGCCGGUGUCAGCUUAGGUAGUUGGGGGGGUUAAGGCGCACCAAGCCAAAGAACUGUAGCUGGUCUGAGAGGACGACCAGCCACACUGGGACUGAGAAACGGCCCAGAAUCCUACGGGAGGCAGCAGUGGGGAAUUUUGGACAAUGGGCGCAAGCCUGAUCCAGCAAUGCCGCGUGCAGGAAGAAGGCCUUCGGGUUGUAAACUGCUUUUGUUCGGAACGAAACGGCUCUGGUUAAUACCCGGGGCUAAUGACGGUACCGUAAGAAUAAGCACCGGCUAACUACGUG
rnacentral:rRNA from 1 species